AACGAACGCUGGCGGCAUGCCUAACACAUGCAAGUCGAACGCCCUCUUCGGAGGGAGUGGCGCACGGGUGCGUAACGCGUGGGAACCUGCCCUUAGGUUCGGAAUAACUCAGAGAAAUUUGAGCUAAUACCGGAUAAUGUCUUCGGACCAAAGAUUUAUCGCCUUUGGAUGGGCCCGCGUUGGAUUAGCUAGUUGGUGGGGUAAAGGCCUACCAAGGCGACGAUCCAUAGCUGGUCUGAGAGGAUGAUCAGCCACACUGGGACUGAGACACGGCCCAGACUCCUACGGGAGGCAGCAGUGGGGAAUAUUGGACAAUGGGCGAAAGCCUGAUCCAGCAAUGCCGCGUGAGUGAUGAAGGCCUUAGG
rnacentral:rRNA from 1 species